AUGGGGAUGCGCCUUCAAGUGCUUGCUUGGCUAUUGACAUUUCAGGCUGCCUGGGUCAACACCCAAAUGUUGCAUCAGAGUCCUCAGUCUCUGACAAUCCAAGAAGGAGAUGAAGUCACCAUGAGCUGCAAUUUAUCAACAUCUUUAUAUGCCUUACUCUGGUAUAGGCAGGGGGAUGAUGGCAGCCUCGUCUCCUUGGUGACAUUACAGAAAGGAGGAGAUGAGAAAAGUAAGGACAAAAUAACCGCUAAUCUGGAUAAGAAAAUGCAACAAAGUUCCCUGUGGAUCCAAGCCUCCCAGCCCAGCCACUCAGGCACUUACCUCUGUGGAGGGAAAG